rnacentral:rRNA from 1 species
AUUGAACGCUGGCGGCAGGGUUAACACAUGCAGGUCGAGCGGGGGAAGGUAGCUUGCUACCGGACCUAGCGGCGGACGGGUGAGUAAUGCUUAGGAAUCUGCCUAUUAGUGGGGGACAACAUCGCGAAAGGGAUGCUAAUACCGCAUACGUCCUACGGGAGAAAGCAGGGGAUCUUCGGACCUUGCGCUAAUAGAUGAGCCUAAGUCGGAUUAGCUAGUUGGUGGGGUAAAGGCCUACCAAGGCGACGAUCUGUAGCGGGUCUGAGAGGAUGAUCCGCCACACUGGGACUGAGACACGGCCCAGACUCCUACGGGAGGCAGCAGUGGGGAAUAUUGGACAAUGGGGGGAACCCUGAUCCAGCCAUGCCGCGUGUGUGAAGAAGGCCUUAUGGUUGUAAAGCACUUUAAGCGAGGAGGAGGCUACUCUAGUUAAUACCUAGGGAUAGUGGACGUUACUCGCAGAAUAAGCACCGGCUAACUCUGUGCCAGCCGCCGCAGUAA